UACGGAAGGCAGCAGUGGGGAAUAUUGCACAAUGGGCGCAAGCCUGAUGCAGCCAUGCCGCGUGUAUGAAGAAGGCCUUCGGGUUGUAAAGUACUUUCAGUCGUGAGGAAGGUGUUAAGGUUAAUAACCUUAGCAAUUGACGUUAGCGACAGAAGAAGCACCGGCUAACUCCGUGCCAGCAGCCGCGGUAAUACGGAGGGUGCGAGCGUUAAUCGGAAUUACUGGGCGUAAAGGGCACGCAGGCGGUUAAUUAAGUUGGAUGUGAAAUCCCCGGGCUUAACCUGGGAAUGGCAUUCAAGACUGGUUAGCUAGAGUCUUGUAGAGGGGGUAGAAUUCCAUGUGUAGCGGUGAAAUGCGUAGAGAUGUGGAGGAAUACCGGGUGGCGAAGGCGGCCCCUGGGACAAAGACUGACGCUCAUGUGCGAAAGCGUGGGGAGCGAAACAGGGAUUAGAU
rnacentral:rRNA from 1 species